rnacentral:tRNA from 1 species
GCCGUGUCCAUCCAGUAUGGUGGAUAUGAACCUCGGCUUGUAACCGAGUGGGCUCGGGUUCGAAUCCCGAAUAAGGCA